AUCUUGACAAAUAGCGAACCCUUUGCGUAGCGCGAGCAUUAACGUAAUCGAAAACACCGUCGUCGGAGCUGCGGCGUCCGUGCGGAGUGCAUAGUGCUGGUUCGAUGGUAUUGCUUGUUGCGAGUUUGUAUCACGUUUAGUUUAUACUUACGACCUCCGAGCAAUGUCGGGCCGCGCUGACGUCAGUGGCUUCUUCAACACACAGAUGGUGCUCGACCUUAACGAAGAGUCGGGUGAUCUCAUCAAGUCGCCUUCGCCGCCGCCCAGCCAUGGUGGG
rnacentral:misc_RNA from 1 species